rnacentral:rRNA from 1 species
UGGGGGAUAUUGCACAAUGGGCGAAAGCCUGAUGCAGCGACGCCGCGUGGGGGAUGAAGGCCUUCGGGUUGUAAACUUCUUUUGCUCUGAACAAGGCAUGCUAAUGGGUGUGUUGAGUGUAGGGGUUGAUUAGCGCCGGCUAACUACGUGCCAGCAGCCGCGGUAAUACGUAGGGCGCGAGCGUUGUCCGGAAUUAUUGGGCGUAAAGUGCUUGUAGGUGGCUGGUUGCGUCUGUCGUGAAAGCUCAUGGCUUAACUGUGGGUUUGGGGUGGGUACGGGCUGGCGUGAGUGCAGUAGGGGGGGAUGGAAUUCCUGGUGUAGCGGUGGAAUGCGCAGAUAUCAGGAGGAAUACCGGUGGCGAAGGCGGGUCUCUGGGCUGUUACUGACACUGAGGAGCGAAAGCAUGGGGAGCGAACAGG